CCGGUUCCGGUUCACGUCCGACGCUCGCGUGGGCGACCCGGCGACC
rnacentral:ncRNA from 1 species